AGAAGAUGAAGAAAGAGGAGGAAGAGGAGGACGGAGCAGAGUCUCUAACAUCUGGCUAUGAGUCUAAGAAGAGAGACGGGUCUAAAGGUGAUCCUCAAGACUUGAGUAAUGAACCUGGACCCUCAGACACAAAAGAGAGGAAGAGGAGUGUUGUUUCUGUGGAGGAGCAGUCUGCUUCAUCAGGAGAAUCCUCCUGUCCCCAGUGUGCAGAAGGAUCCAGAACCAGAGCUGGACUGCAGACAGACAGUCAGACCAGCACUGUACAAACAGAAAGUGGUGUGCAGGAGCUUUUAGAUGAACAUCAGAUCAGUCUGAGCAGCACAUGUGAAUGUGUGACUCAAGGAACUGAUGAAGCAGGAAGUGAAAUCCCCCUCAACAGCAUCUUCACUGAGGUCCAC